AAUAUCGGAUGAAGGCCAUUCUGAUGACUGCCUGAAUGGUAUAUGUUGAAUCCACAUUAAAUCAUUUUGCGUUAUUGGUUUUUCUUUAACUGUGGUAAAUUAUCUUUGUAAUCGGUCAAAAAUGUUUUUUUUUUUUCAACAGCGCAACAUCCGCCUUCUAAAAGAAGAAAUUCAAAAAAUUCGGACGAUUACUGUUCUGAUGAUUUUUUGAAAGCGCAUCAUCCAAGGUUUAAACCAAGAAAUUCAAAAGACUCGGAUGAUUACUAUUCCGAUGAUUUUUUGAAAGCGCGUUCUACACCGUCCAUACCAAGGGAUUCCCAAAAAUCGGAUGAAGACUAUCCUCAUGCUUUUUUGAAAGGUUUAAGCUGAAUCUAGUGUAAU